GAUGAACGCUGGCGGCGUGCCUAAUACAUGCAAGUCGAGCGAACGGACGAGAAGCUUGCUUUUCUGAUGUUAGCGGCGGACGGGUGAGUAACACGUGGAUAACCUACCUAUAAGACUGGGAUAACUUCGGGAAACCGGAGCUAAUACCGGAUAAUAUUUUGAACCGCAUCGUUCAAAAGUGAAAGACGGUCUUGCUGUCACUUAUAGAUGGAUCCGCGCUGCAUUAGCUAGUUGGUAAGGUAACGGCUUACCAAGGCAACGAUGCAUAGCCGACCUGAGAGGGUGAUCGCCCACACGGGAACUGAGACACGGUCCAGACUCCUACGGGAGGCAGCAGUAGGGAAUCUUACGCAAUGGGCGAAAGCCUGACGGAGCAACGCCGCGUGAGUGAUGAAGGUCUUCGGAUCGUAAAACUCUGUUAUUAGGGAAGAACAUAUGUGUAAGUAACUGUGCACAUCUUGACGGUACCUAAUCAGAAAGCCACGGCUAACUACGUG
rnacentral:rRNA from 1 species